GGCUGUGAGUCAUUACAAAAGCAAGAAGCAGCUUCUCCAGAAAGAGCAGCUGGAUGGACUCAAACGGUCUCUGGAGGUCAAAGAGCGGGAAAUGCAGGCUAUUAUCAUGGAAAAAGUGCUACUUCAGCUCAGGUUGGACAACGCCCAAACCAAUGAUAAGAUGCUUGCAAACAGGGUGGCCAGCUUGGAGGCAAAGUUGGGCUCUACUGACCAUACCUUUAAAGUGCACAAUGAGACUCUGUUCACUGGAGGCAAUGCAUCAGGCUCAUGUUUCUUUGAGGUCCUAAACACAAACUCGGGUGUUUGAAAGAGAGCACAAGAGAAGAGAGCCAUGAAGUGUGAAGGUGCCAGCAGGACUAUUGCACAAUAGGAGAAUCAAAUGACCUGUGCUGAAGAUGAGACGGAAGUGGAUUCAGCCCCAAAUAAUUCAGCUUCAUCUUUCAAAUGGCGCAGAACCAAACAGGUUAUGAACUUCACUGGGCGCCAGUUUAGCUCAGUGAGUGAGAAGGCACCAUGUGCCGCAUGGCUGCAGGGUAGCGGCCUGGGUUUGAGUCCGAUCCAUGGCCCUUUUUUGCAUGUCUCCUCCUUUUUUCUCUCCCUUCCUUCCUGUCUGUCUACACUGUCUCUAUCAA